UAGGGGGUGGGAGAGGCCAACGGUAUUCCCGGGGUAGGGGUGAAAUCCUAUAAUCCCGGGAGGACCACCAGUGGCGAAGGCUGUUGGCUAGAACAUGCCCGACGGUGAGGGAUGAAAGCUGGGGGAGCGAACCGGAUUAGAUACCCGGGUAGUCCCAGCUGUAAACGAUGCAGGCUAGGUGUUAGGGCGGCCACGUGCCGCUCUAGUGCCGCAGGGAAGCUGUUAAGCCUGCCGCCUGGGGAGUACGGCCGCAAGGCUGAAACUUAAAGGAAUUGGCGGGGGAGCACCACAAGGGGUGAAGCUUGCGAUUUAAUUGGAGUCAACGCCGGAAAUCUCACCGGGGGCGACAGCAGAGUGAAGGUCAGAUUAAAGGUCUUGCCAGACGAGCUGAGAGGAGGUGCAUGGCCGUCGCCAGUUCGUGCCGUGAGGUGUCCUGUUAAGUCAGGCAACGAUCGAGACCCGCAUCUCCAGUUGCUACUAGCCUUGUGCUUGGCACACUGGGGAGACCGCCGCUGAUAAGGCGGAGGAAGGAGCGGGCCACG
rnacentral:rRNA from 1 species